rnacentral:rRNA from 1 species
GUCUAUGACCACGUCAGACUGAACAUGCCUGAUCCCAUCUGAUCUCAGAUUCUAAGCAGGACCAGUUAGUACCAGGGUGGAAGAUCAACUGGGAAUCUUGGGUGUCAUUGCCC